UCUUCCCUGCCUUGCACGACAGGGGCCUAGUUCUCCUACCCAACACCAUGAAAAAUGGGAGCUGGUGUUCGCCUGUGGACGGCAUGUCCGAAUUCGGAAUCUCCGAUAAGCAGGCGGCAGGUUCCCGCCUUAUGAACAUAAGGUCAGGAGGUUCGCCCCAUCGGCAAGGUGGGGGUUUU
rnacentral:other from 1 species